UAGGGAAUCUUCCACAAUGGACGCAAGUCUGAUGGAGCAACGCCGCGUGAGUGAAGAAGGUUUUCGGAUCGUAAAGCUCUGUUGUUGGUGAAGAAGGAUAGAGGCAGUAACUGGUCUUUAUUUGACGGUAAUCAACCAGAAAGUCACGGCUAACUACGUGCCAGCAGCCGCGGUAAUACGUAGGUGGCAAGCGUUGUCCGGAUUUAUUGGGCGUAAAGCGAGCGCAGGCGGAAUGAUAAGUCUGAUGUGAAAGCCCACGGCUCAACCGUGGAACUGCAUCGGAAACUGUCAUUCUUGAGUGCAGAAGAGGAGAGUGGAACUCCAUGUGUAGCGGUGGAAUGCGUAGAUAUAUGGAAGAACACCAGUGGCGAAGGCGGCUCUCUGGUCUGCAACUGACGCUGAGGCUCGAAAGCAUGGGUAGCGAACAGGAUUAGAUACCCUGGUAGUCCAUGCCGUAAACGAUGAGCGCUAGGUGUUGGGGACUUUCCGGUCCUCAGUGCCGCAGCAAACGCAUUAAGCGCUCCGCCUGGGGAGUACGACCGCAAGGUUGAAACUCUG
rnacentral:rRNA from 1 species